GCAUUGGCUCGUGUCGUCGUAAAUAAGAUUUGUUUGACGGAUAUUCCGUUAGUUGAGUGUGUUGUUGUAAUUUCUGAGGCUGUAUGAGUUGGACGGAAUGGCGCCAUCCCGCCAAGUGCGAAAUCGGCGGUGUAGUGUGAAGGGUUGUGGAAAAACAAAGGCUGAUUGUCAUUUGGAUCUCAACUCGGAUCUCAACUUCUUCCAUGUUCCGAAAAACGUGUCAAGAGACUUGGUUGGGUGGCUGUCCUAGAAGAUGGCUUGGCGGACAAGCAGGUUGACGAAGCACUUGUGUGUAGCUGCCACUUCAACCCUCAAGAUCUUUUGCUUGGAGAACGGGCUAGAACGUCACCACAUGCCGUACCGUCAAUAGCAGUCGUGGAAGGUAAACUUGAUAGGCGGCCGGCGCGCGCCCAUCGGCACCGGCGGCCGGCGCGCGACCAUCCC